UAAUGAUGGUAUGAUGAGAUCUUGUUUUGUCAUUUUCUUCACUGUUUGUUCCAGAAAUAUCAGUACAUUGAAAACUUGUCCUUUUGUAGUCAAAGUAGCAAAUUGGAAGGCAAUUAAGCACCACAGAUUAAAAGUUUUUCUUCCAGUCUUUAUUUCUAGUUGUCUCUCUUUAGCGCCGGUGCAGUAUUGUUGUAUGAACUUAUUAAAAAUGUUGAUGAUGAAUGCCUUCCUGUUUACAGGUGAGGGACGCAGAGACCUGAUUGGAGUUUCUACUGAACAACAACAAAAACUGAUUUCUAAACAUCUUUUGACCGAAACGAAGUGGACCUAAACUUACUCGGUGAAGCCGGCCGGUCAGGUGAAGACGGGCAGCGCUGGGUCUGAGGGUGGAUCUGGGCAGUUGCUGCGGUAACUUGGGGGUGAACCCGGCGUGAGUGUCCGUGUCGGGGGUGACAGUCGUGGAC